UACGGAGGGGGCUAGCGUUGUUCGGAAUUACUGGGCGUAAAGCGCACGUAGGCGGACUGGAAAGUCAGAGGUGAAAUCCCAGGGCUCAACCUUGGAACUGCCUUUGAAGCUAUCAGUCUGGAGUUCGAGAGAGGUGAGUGGAGUUCCGAGUGUAGAGGUGAAAUUCGUAGAUAUUCGGAGGAACACCAGUGGCGAAGGCGGCUCACUGGCUCGAUACUGACGCUGAGGUGCGAAAGCGUGGGGAGCAAAC
rnacentral:rRNA from 1 species